GACGAACGCUGGCGGCGUGCUUAACACAUGCAAGUCGAACGGAAAGGCCCUGCUUUUGUGGGGUGCUCGAGUGGCGAACGGGUGAGUAACACGUGAGUAACCUGCCCUUGACUUUGGGAUAACUUCAGGAAACUGGGGCUAAUACCGGAUAGGAGCUCCUGCUGCAUGGUGGGGGUUGGAAAGUUUCGGCGGUUGGGGAUGGACUCGCGGCUUAGCAGCUUGUUGGUGGGGUAGUGGCUUACCAAGGCUUUGACGGGUAGCCGGCCUGAGAGGGUGACCGGCCACAUUGGGACUGAGAUACGGCCAAGACUGCUACGGGAGGCAGCAGUGAAGAAUAUUGCACAAUGGGCGGAAGCCUGAUGCAGCAACGCCGCGUGCGGGAUGACGGCCGUCGGGGUGGAAACCGCUUGCGCCUGUGACGAAGCGUGAGUGACGGUAAUGGGUAAAGAAGCACCGGCUAACUACGUG
rnacentral:rRNA from 1 species